UUUCAUUCUCUUCCUCUUUCAACUUGAAGGGGAGAAAAUAUCAGGCUUGAAGCCACUGCAUCCAUCUUCCUAAAAUUGGGGUAUUGAGAAUAAAGAUAGUACCAUCAUACAGUAGAGCCAAGAGAUGAGAAAAAUCGUAUACAAGAGACAUUGUUUGUACCUUGAAUCCAGUCAUACCUGAAACCAUCAAUGCCAUGUGCCUUUUAGUUACACGAGCCAGUAAAGUCCACUUCGUCCCUCAAGCAGAUAGUUUAUUUGGAAGGUGAUCUCGGGAAACACUAGCAGAAAAGUGGACAGAGAGGCGGGAGAGGAAGAAAACCAAUAAAGAGUGUGCUAUCAAGCAAGUUAACACUGUGGGCAACUGCAGCUUCGUCCGGCGGAAACUCUGCUGAAUGAAGAGAAUUCCAAGGCCACCGAAGAGGGCAGACCCACAGGACUGAACGAGCCUGGAUCCUGAUAUGACCCCUUGGAAGGCUGUUCGCUGGCCAGGGACCCCUAAUUGGACUUUGCAUUGAUGAGGAAAUUGAGGUUCGGCGGGCAGAGGUUCUCUGCGCGAAGUCAAGAGCCAGGGAGUGACUGAACUGCCAGACACCAGACACGGCGCGUAUCCCGCCACAUCGUGCUUCCUCCUUCUCUGAGCCCUCCUCUGCAUGGUGCACAAAUCUGCAGCCACCAUUUAACUGCAACUCCAUGAGGACUCUAAGCUAGAAGGACCCAUCUGGAGCCUUCCUGAAUUCCCGACCCACAGAAGCCAUGAGAGAUGAGGUGGUUGCUGUUGCUCAGUGGCACUGAGUUUCGUGGUGAUUGUCAUCCUGCAGUGGGACCUGGAACAGAGACCCUUGAGGCAGAACCGUUUGCUUUGUUCACCGGCCUUUACUCUGUGGUGAUCACAGUGCCUGGCACAUGCUCCAGAGCCAGGACAGCACCAGCUUCUCCUGCAAGUCACUCACGUCCUCGUGUUUGGAGACAGUUAGAGACUGACAUGGGUUCCAGCUGGUCUUUCUCUUACCACGGUAUGUCUAACCUUCCUUCCCAACUGCUGGCCCUGAUUACCUCAGGCUCAACACCAGAUACAGAGGAGGAAGAUGAGACUCAUGUGGAGCACGGUCACCCCAGCCACUGCAGGCUGAAGCAAAACUGGGCCCCAGACAAGCCGAGGCCCCCAGUGCAAGGAGAACUGUCCAGCCCAGCCCAGCCUGCGUCAGCCAAACACCGGCUGACACACAAUGCAUGAACAAUAAUAAACACUUGUUUUGUUAAAGCCACUGAGGUUUUUUUGUUUGUUUGUUUGUUUUUGCUUUUGUUGUAUGCCCUUGGUAGCCUGGGGAAGCCUACAGAUCC
rnacentral:lncRNA from 1 species